rnacentral:rRNA from 1 species
UACGGAGGGUGCAAGCGUUAUCCGGAUUCACUGGGUUUAAAGGGUGCGUAGGUGGCUAGGUAAGUCGGAUGUGAAAUCCCGGGGCUCAACCCCGGAACUGCAUUCGAUACUGCCUGGCUAGAGUACUGGAGAGGAGAUUGGAAUUUACGGUGUAGCAGUGAAAUGCGUAGAUAUCGUAAGGAAGACCAGUGGCGAAGGCGGAUCUCUGGACAGUUACUGACACUGAGGCACGAAGGCCAGGGGAGCAAACGGG